rnacentral:rRNA from 1 species
UGCAAGUCGAGCGAACAGAUAAGGAGCUUGCUCCUUUGACGUUAGCGGCGGACGGGUGAGUAACACGUGGGUAACCUACCUAUAAGACUGGGAUAACUUCGGGAAACCGGAGCUAAUACCGGAUAACAUUUGGAACCGCAUGGUUCUAAAGUGAAAGAUGGUUUUGCUAUCACUUAUAGAUGGACCCGCGCCGUAUUAGCUAGUUGGUAAGGUAACGGCUUACCAAGGCGACGAUACGUAGCCGACCUGAGAGGGUGAUCGGCCACACUGGAACUGAGACACGGUCCAGACUCCUACGGGAGGCAGCAGUAGGGAAUCUUCCGCAAUGGGCGAAAGCCUGACGGAGCAACGCCGCGUGAGUGAUGAAGGGUUUCGGCUCGUAAAACUCUGUUAUUAGGGAAGAACAAAUGUGUAAGUAACUGUGCACAUCUUGACGGUACCUAAUCAGAAAGCCACGGCUAACUACGUGCCAGCAGCCGCGGUAAUACGUAGGUGGCAAGCGUUAUCCGGAAUUAUUGGGCGUAAAGCGCGCGUAGGCGGUUUCUUAAGUCUGAUGUGAAAGCCCACGGCUCAACCGUGGAGGGUCAUUGGAAACUGGGAAACUUGAGUGCAGAAGAGGAAAGUGGAAUUCCAUGUGUAGCGGUGAAAUGCGCAGAGAUAUGGAGGAACACCAGUGGCGAAGGCGACUUUCUGGUCUGUAACUGACGCUGAUGUGCGAAAGCGUGGGGAUCAAACAGGAUUAGAUACCCUGGUAGUCCACGCCGUAAACGAUGAGUGCUAAGUGUUAGGGGGUUUCCGCCCCUUAGUGCUGCAGCUAACGCAUUAAGCACUCCGCCUGGGGAGUACGACCGCAAGGUUGAAACUCAAAGGAAUUGACGGGGACCCGCACAAGCGGUGGAGCAUGUGGUUUAAUUCGAAGCAACGCGAAGAACCUUACCAAAUCUUGACAUCCUUUGAAAACUCUAGAGAUAGAGCCUUCCCCUUCGGGGGACAAAGUGACAGGUGGUGCAUGGUUGUCGUCAGCUCGUGUCGUGAGAUGUUGGGUUAAGUCCCGCAACGAGCGCAACCCUUAAGCUUAGUUGCCAUCAUUAAGUUGGGCACUCUAGGUUGACUGCCGGUGACAAACCGGAGGAAGGUGGGGAUGACGUCAAAUCAUCAUGCCCCUUAUGAUUUGGGCUACACACGUGCUACAAUGGACAAUACAAAGGGCAGCUAAACCGCGAGGUCAUGCAAAUCCCAUAAAGUUGUUCUCAGUUCGGAUUGUAGUCUGCAACUCGACUACAUGAAGCUGGAAUCGCUAGUAAUCGUAGAUCAGCAUGCUACGGUGAAUACGUUCCCGGGUCUUGUACACACCGCCCGUCACACCACGAGAGUUUGUAACACCCGAAGCCGGUGGAGUAACCAUUUAUGGAGCUAGC